rnacentral:rRNA from 1 species
CCUACGGGAGGCUGCAGUGGGGAAUAUUGGACAAUGGGCGCAAGCCUGAUCCAGCCAUGCCGCGUGGAUGAUGAAGGCCCUAGGGUUGUAAAGUCCUUUCGGCGGGGAAGCGGUACCCGCAGAAGAAGCCCCGGCUAACUUCGUGCCAGCAGCCGCGGGAAUACGAAGGGGGCUAGCGUUGCUCGGAAUCACUGGGCGUAAAGCGCACGUAGGCGGCUUUCUAAGUCAGGGGUGAAAUCCUGGAGCUCAACUCCAGAACUGCCUUUGAUACUGGAGAGCUAGAGUCCGGAAGAGGUGAGUGGAACUGCGAGUGUAGAGGUGAAAUUCGUAGAUAUUCGCAAGAACACCAGUGGCGAAGGCGGCUCACUGGUCCGGACUGACGCUGAGGUGCGAAAGCGUGGGGAGCAAACAGGAUUAAUACCCUUGUAGUC